CAGUAGCCGCGGUAAUACGUAGGGGGCAAGCGUUGUCCGGAAUCAUUGGGCGUAAAGCGCGUGUAGGCGGCUCGAUAAGUCUGCUGUGAAAGUCCAGGGCUCAACCCUGGAAUGCCGGUGGAAACUGUCGAGCUUGAGUCCGGAAGAGGCAAGUGGAAUUCCUGGUGUAGCGGUGAAAUGCGCAGAUAUCAGGAGGAACACCAAUGGCGAAGGCAGCUUGCUGGGACGGUACUGACGCUGAGACGCGAAAGCGUGGGGAGCAAACAGGAUUAGAUACCCCCGUAGUCCCUGUCUCUUAUAC
rnacentral:rRNA from 1 species